rnacentral:hammerhead_ribozyme from 1 species
AUUCAACUGACAAGUUUCAAAUAGGACGAAACAUGCGUCCUUAAU